rnacentral:rRNA from 1 species
GGGUUGUGAGGUUAAGCGACUAAGCGUACACGGUGGAUGCCCUGGCAGUCAGAGGCGAUGAAGGGCGUGCUAAUCUGCGAUAAGCGCCGGUAAGGUGAUAUGAACCGUUAUAACCGGCGAUACCCGAAUGGGGAAACCCAGUGUGACUCGUCACACUAUCAUUAACUGAAUCCAUAGGUUAAUGAGGCGAACCGGGGGAACUGAAACAUCUAAGUACCCCGAGGAAAAGAAAUCAACCGAGAUUCCCCCAGUAGCGGCGAGCGAACGGGGAGGAGCCCAGAGCCUGAAUCAGCAUGUGUGUUAGUGGAAGCGUCUGGAAAGGCGCGCGAUACAGGGUGACAGCCCCGUACACAAAAGCGCAUGUGCUGUGAGCUCGAUGAGUAGGGCGGGACACGUGGUAUCCUGUCUGAAUAUGGGGGGACCAUCCUCCAAGGCUAAAUACUCCUGACUGACCGAUAGUGAACCAGUACCGUGAGGGAAAGGCGAAAAGAACCCCGGCGAGGGGAGUGAAAAAGAACCUGAAACCGUGUACGUACAAGCAGUGGGAGCACCCUUGGGGUGUGACUGCGUACCUUUUGUAUAAUGGGUCAGCGACUUAUAUUCUGUAGCAAGGUUAACCGAAUAGGGGAGCCGGAGGGAAACCGAGUCUUAAUUGGGCGUUAAGUUGCAGGGUAUAGACCCGAAACCCGGUGAUCUAGCCAUGGGCAGGUUGAAGGUUGGGUAACACUAACUGGAGGACCGAACCGACUAAUGUUGAAAAAUUAGCGGAUGACCUGUGGCU